GCUUGUCUCAAAGAUUAAGCCAUGCAUGUCUAAGUAUAAACAACUUUAUACUGUAAAACUGCGAACGGCUCAUUAUAUCAGCAAUAAUUUAUUUGAUGGUUUCUUACCCCAUGGAUAACUGUGGUAAUUCUAGAGCUAAUACAUGCGUAAAGUCCCGACUCUUUCUGGGGAGGGAUGUAUUUAUUAGAUAAAAAACCAAUGCGGGUUCUGCCCGGUUUUGCGGUGAUUCAUAAUAACUAGUCGAAUCGCAUGGCUUUUUGCCGGCGAUGGUUCAUUCGAAUUUCUGCCCUAUCAGCUUUCGACGGUAGUGUAGUGGACUACCGUGGCAUUAACGGGUGACGGAGAAUUAGGGUUCGAUUCCGGAGAGGGAGCCUGAGAAACGGCUACCACAUCCAAGGAAGGCAGCAGG
rnacentral:rRNA from 1 species